rnacentral:rRNA from 1 species
AGAACGAACGCUGGCGGCAUGCCUAAUACAUGCAAGUCGAGCGAACUCUUCGGAGUUAGUGGCGCACGGGUGCGUAACGCGUGGGAAUCUGCCCCUUGGUUCGGAAUAACAGUUGGAAACGACUGCUAAUACCGGAUGAUGACGAAAGUCCAAAGAUUUAUCGCCAAGGGAUGAGCCCGCGUAGGAUUAGCUAGUUGGUGAGGUAAAGGCUCACCAAGGCAACGAUCCUUAGCUGGUCUGAGAGGAUGAUCAGCCACACUGGGACUGAGACACGGCCCAGACCUCCGUACGGGACGCAG